CACGUAGGGUGCGAGCGUUGUCCGGAAUUAUUGGGCGUAAAGAGCUCGUAGGCGGUGUGUCACGUCGGCCGUGAAAACCUGCAGCUUAACUGUGGGCGUGCGGUCGAUACGGGCAUCACUGGAGUUCGGCAGGGGAGACUGGAAUUCCUGGUGUAGCGGUGAAAUGCGCAGAUAUCAGGAGGAACACCGGUGGCGAAGGCGGUUCUCUGGGCAUGACCUGACGCUGAGGAGCGAAAGCGUGGGGAGCGAACAGG
rnacentral:rRNA from 1 species